GACAGAGGGGGCAAGCGUUGCUCGGAAUUACUGGGCGUAAAGGGCGCGUAGGCGGGAUGGCAAGUCGGUCGUGAAAUCCCUCGGCUCAACUGAGGAGCGUCGAUCGAAACUGCCGUUCUUGAGGGUUGCAGAGGAGACUGGAAUUCCCGGUGUAGCGGUGAAAUGUGUAGAGAUCAGGAGGAAUACCGAUGGCGAAGGCAGGUCUCUGGGCUGACACUGACGCUCAUGCACGAAAGCGUGGGGAGCAAACAGG
rnacentral:rRNA from 1 species